GAGCCUCGGGAAUUGAAGUUCUAAACGGUUGUUUACCAUGUGGGUUCUGGGAACUGAACUCAGGUAUUCAAGGGUAACGAGGACUCUUAAAUGCUGAGCCAUCUCCAGGCUGGAGCUGGGAUUUGAACCAAAGUGAUCCAGCCCCAGGUUUAUUCCCUGAGCUGAGAGGAGUCAGCUUCAUAGGCAGUGGUCUGGGUGGCUUUGCAGGGCCUCGCACACGCCUUAGUACCUUGCUGUUGCUGUCUUCAGCACCCAUGACGUUCUGCUGUACAGAAAUGGAGACACAAGAGAGCUAGAGUAAAACUCCAGAGGCAGAGGUAGAAUUUAAAGACCAGGAAGAAAAAGUUAAAAGGCCCAAAGAAUAUGUGUUAACAACAGCGAUAAACAGUCACAGAUACUGGCUGUCGGACUAAAAGCAACAGGAGCAGGAAGAUGGCGGAGUGAUUUCCUCCUAAAGCCCGGACGCGUUGCUACCACUUUGGAACAGUGCGUUUGCACGCAUUGGUUUAUGAUAGAGAUUCUGAUGCAGUAAUGGGAAGCGGAGGAGGAUCCAGAGGAGGGGGGCAGCGUGGACGUAAGGAACUCAUUUCGUGUGGAUGAGCAGGCCCUGAGUUCCAUCCUCAACACCGAGGAAGGAAAUUCAGAUCAAGUAAAAAGAAAAUCAGUCAAAUCAAAUCACACGGAGGUUUGCUCUCUGAACGCAGGUUUUGUUUUGUUUAUUUUACUCUCACGACAUCUUCUGUGCAAGUGACAAGGGGAUUUAAAAACACCGUUGCAUUCUUUUAUUUCGUGUGCGUGCAGGCAUGUGCCUGCCGUGGUGUAUGCGUGGAGGUCAGAGGACAACGUGCGGAUGUUGGCUCUCUCCUUCCACUGUCUGUGUCUUGAGGAUUGAACUCAGGUUGUCCUGUGUGGCAGCAGAUCCCUGUAUCAGCUGCGCCAUCUCACCAACUCCUAAUAAAGGCUUUUGUAUUCUUCUUCUCAUA